rnacentral:rRNA from 1 species
UAGGGAAUCUUCGGCAAUGGGGGCAACCCUGACCGAGCAACGCCGCGUGAGUGAAGAAGGUCUUCGGAUCGUAAAACUCUGUUGUAAGAGAAGAACGUGUGUGAGAGUGGAAAGUUCACACAGUGACGGUAACUUACCAGAAAGGGACGGCUAACUACGUGCCAG